rnacentral:rRNA from 1 species
CCUACGUGUGGCUGCAGUGAGGAAUAUUGGGCAAUGGGGGCAACCCUGACCCAGCCAUGCCGCGUGAGUGAAGAAGGUCUUCGGAUUGUAAAGCUCUUUCGGAAGUGACGAUGAUGACGGUAGCUCAGGAGCAAGCCACGGCUAACUACGUGACAGCAGCAGCGGUAAUACGUAGGUGGCAAGCGUUGUACGGAAUUACUGGGUGUAAAGGGAGCGCAGGCGGGAAGCCAAGUCAGCUGUGAAAACUACGGGCUUAACUUGUAGACUGCAGUUGAAACUGGUGUUAUUGAGUGAAGUAGAGGUUGGCGGAAUUCCGAGUGUAGCGGUGAAAUGCGUAGAUAUUCGGAGGAACACCGGUGGCGAAGGCGGCCAACUGGGCUUUAACUGACGCUGAGGCUCGAAAGUGUGGGGAGCAAACAGGAUUAGAUACCCUGGUAGUC